rnacentral:lncRNA from 1 species
UUUAAUUUUCUGACAAUAUCCUUCUUUUCUCUUUAGAAAUUGGGCACUUCCAGCACUGCUAGGAACCAAAGUGAGACCAAGUAGAAAAUCCAAGUUGAAUCCAUGACUGAGCUGGAAAAAGAAGCAGGAACCCAGCUCCUCCAGAGCAUUGCAGGAGAGGGAGUUACCACAAAAUACUGUUUGGACUGUGACCUUCUGAAGUUGAAUGGUCAGGAGAUAGAGCUUCGUACCUGGAUCUUCCUCUGAAGCCACCAGAAAGCAAAAGUGACUGGAAGAAAUCUGAAGAAUUAAAAGAAUUUGCCUCAAUUUGUGAAGAUGGUCGGUCAUGGGACAAUUUAUUCAAGUCCAGCUGUCUCUCUCCUUCAUCCCUGAUGAUGUGCAGCAGCCAGAGAUAAACCUCCUUAGUCUCUGUGCUCUGGAGGGGUCCAUCUGGCACCUGUCAGAAGUCCUACCCUCAUUUUUGGGGAUGGCACAAGAAGCAGAGUUAUCCCACAGCCCUGUGAUGGCAUUCCUUGGCUCAUUAACUCCUGACCAGCACCACAGUGCAGGAUUGAUGGUAAGUGGUGCUCUGUUGUGAUUCA